AUGAUGGCCGAGCUCCUCGCCGGCCGGCACCCUUUCCAUGGGAGGUCGGACAUGGAUCACCUCAGCGAAAUCUUGGCCCUUCUUGGCACGGCAGACAUCAAGGAGUGGUCGGGCUACGAUGGGCGGCGGCUACCCAGUGGAUGCCAACUAGGAAGCUUUUUGCGCAACAAGUUCCCAUGUCCCACCAAGGCCAGGAUCAAAGGCCCCCCAACACUGUCGGAGGCUGGGUUCGAGGUCUUGAGCGCUCUUCUACGAUGCAACCCGGAGAAGAGGCUAACGGCGGAACAAGCUCUCAAGCAUCGAUGGUUCAAGGACACAAAGCCUAGGGCUAUAAGGAGAUGA
rnacentral:rRNA from 1 species